rnacentral:rRNA from 1 species
AUGGCAGUGGCACCGGGUCAGCCUGACGUAGGUGGUGAACUGGUGAUCACCAGCUUGGGCUCCCACCCAGACUCCAUGGGGGCAAGGUCCACGAGGUUGCCCCCGUCGACGGACGAUGCCGUGCUGGUGGCCGCUGUUGGCAUAGGCCCAACUCAUGGCAUACUUUUGACUAGCGUUUCCCGAUGCCUAAUAGGCUGUGAAGAUGCUAUGAUGAAAAGCGUCCGAUUCGAAAUAGAAAAAGCAAUCAGCCCCCAGCUCACCCAUCUCGCCGGGGAGGCACACGAACACCGGCAGCCCCCGCACGCUCCAGUUCGAGCAAGAUGGACGGCGGCGGAGACACUACCGCACCAGCUGCUUGUGUGCGGUGUACCCAACACCGUCGGAGUUGCUAGGCUAGCUAGCCAUGGCCAUGCACUACUGCUGCUCGUUGCGGUCGGAGCUGCCACUUGCCAGGCCAAGUUGCGUAGCGGCCGUACUGGCUCACUACACGCUGCCGCAAACCGCGUCGCACCUGCUCGCCUUGUCCGUGCCGUGCUGACGCGCCGCCAAUGGCCGCCAAUCGCUGGUCGCCGCAUGUACCCCGCAGGCUUCGUCCACUGUGUCGGGCGGACCUCUCCCCCUGCGAUGACCUUGCCGACCUCGCCGGUGCCGCCAGCGUUUCCCGCCUCUGGUGCAGGUUCGGACCACCUCCCCCUCUUUCUCGCACGCGCUCCCUGGUGGCUUCCUCGCCCCGCAAGUCUUGCCGCCUGCGUGUGCCGAUCUCACGGCGUGUGCCCGCUGGCCGCCAGGUGGGGAAAUCAGUCGAUAAGAGAGAGGGAAGGGGAAAAAGCUGGAGGUACUCACGCAGCCGGCGACGACGUCAGAUGGCAGGAGGAUGGAAGGUUGGACAAGGCAAAGUUUCAUGUCAUUGGGGCAAUCUUAUUUACGGCCCAGCAAGGUGUUCUGCAUCCAACAGCUGUUGUGAAGACUAGAAUGCAGGUUGCUGAAGGAGGACUUUCACAUAUGUCUGGCUUUGUCGUUUUUAGAAAGAUAUUGAGGAGUGAUGGCAUCCCUGGUGUUUUCAGAGGAUUUGGCACCAGUGCAGUUGGAGCUCUGCUCGCCGUCUACUGGGUGAACCGGGGCCUCUGCCACUUCCGCCACAAGGACUGGGCCAGGGGACACUAUUUGCUAGGAUGCGCGCUGCUCUUGAAGGGGGACUGCGCUCUCACCAUCAAGGAAUUCGACAAGAUCAAUCCUACUGCAUAUGUAUUUAGCAUUGGGGUUCAAUUCGGCAAAACUUUAACAAUCACGUUGGUGCCUUACAUUCAAGAUACUGGUUUUUCUAACACUGUUGUAACAUGA